UACGGAGGGGACUAGCGUUGUUCGGAAUUACUGGGCGUAAAGCGCACGUAGGCGGAUCAGCAAGUUAGGGGUGAAAUCCCGGGGCUCAACCCCGGAACUGCCUCUAAAACUGUUGGUCUUGAGUUCGAGAGAGGUGAGUGGAAUUCCGAGUGUAGAGGUGAAAUUCGUAGAUAUUCGGAGGAACACCAGUGGCGAAGGCGGCUCACUGGCUCGAUACUGACGCUGAGGUGCGAAAGUGUGGGGAGCAAACAGG
rnacentral:rRNA from 1 species